rnacentral:lncRNA from 1 species
UCAAAAAGACAAAACAGAAGACAAAAAUAACACAAAGUUAUUUUAAAAAUACAGAGAAGAAAUAAAAUAGCGAAAACAUGAGGUGAUGCAGAACUUUUAUCUAUCAUUAAAAAUAAUGCAAUAAAAUGAAACCAUUCCCCUUAUCAGAUUAGGAGAUGUAAAUCCUGAUAACAUCCAAUGUGGGUAAAGGUGUAGGGGAUCAGGUGCUUUCACACACUGCUGCUGGAAAUGUACAGUCUUUUUUGGAAAGUGUCAAAUUUUCAAAAUGUAUCUAUCCUUAAACUUAGCAAUCGGCAGGGCACGGUGGCUCACGCCUGUAAUCGCAGCACUUUGGGAGACCAAAGCAGAUGAAUCACCUGAGGUCAAGAGUUCAAGACCAGCCUGGCCAACACGAAAGAAGCUCUCACAGUGGAAGACUAUAAUAUGACAUAAGAAGAAAUGUGGACUUGGAGAUACAGAAGAGUUUCACUCUGCCAUUCAGGCUGCAGUGCAGUGGUGCGA